AACAUACACACCUCACCAUGGAGUCUGUGCUGGGCUGGGUUUUCCUUGUUGCUCUUUUAAAAGGUGUCCAGUGUGACGUGCAGCUGGUGGAGUCUGGGGGAAACCUGGUGAAGCCUGGGGGGUCCCUGAGACUCACCUGUGUGGCCUCUGGAUUCACCUUCAGUAGCUAUAGCAUGCACUGGGUCCGCCAGGCUCCAGGGAAGGGGCUGCAGUGGGUCGCACGCAUUUAUGAUGAUGGAAGUAGCACAAGCUACGCAGACUCC